rnacentral:rRNA from 1 species
GCAGUAGCCGCGGGAAUACGAAGGGGGCUAGCGUUGUUCGGAUUUACUGGGCGUAAAGCGCACGUAGGCGGACUUUUAAGUCAGGGGUGAAAUCCCGGGGCUCAACCCCGGAACUGCCUUUGAUACUGGAAGUCUUGAGUAUGGUAGAGGUGAGUGGAAUUCCGAGUGUAGAGGUGAAAUUCGUAGAUAUUCGGAGGAACACCAGUGGCGAAGGCGGCUCACUGGACCAUUACUGACGCUGAGGUGCGAAAGCGUGGGGAGCAAACAGGAUUAGAUACCCCUGUAGUCCCUGUCUCUUAUAC